AACCCUCCAUUUCACUCCUCAUCACCUUCUCCUCUCUCCUCGUCUCCUCAUUGCCCUCUCAUCUCUUCCCUAAUGCAGAUUAAAGUGAGCCAUGUACUCUAAUGCUCUAAUUGGGCCUAGGAGAUGGGAACCAAUAGAGAUUGAUAGAGGUGGAUAGAGAUAGUGAUAAAAGAGGAGGGGUGAGAAAGAGAGAGGGAGAGACAGGGGUUGAGGGUUAAGACAAGUGAGAAGCUUUAGUGAUUGAGAGACAGAGAGGGUGAGCAAUACAUUGAGAGAGAGAGAGAGAGAGAGCUUGUGUAAUUGUGAUGGUAAUAGGUUUUGUCAGGAGCACCUGUCAGGGUCGAGCUGGAGCCGCUCCGGAGCGACGAGGAGAUGGAGGAGAGGAAAGGAACAGGGUAUUGGAGUCAGGAUCACUCUGAGGAAAGUCCAAUCCAUGAUAGCGUUACCUGAUUGCCAAUUUGUGUCUGUCUUCAGACAUCACACACACACACAUGCACUGUAGUGGAAUGAUGGAGUUGAUUGGACAGGCUCUUGGUGCCUAACGAGGGGUCCAGGGCAAUCACAGACCAGUUGCUUUGUGACUGGAGGAGAAUGAAGGCCGCUACAGCUUGUAUUCUCAUAAUUUCUCGAUGAAAAGGGAGCGCUACACUGAUUGUCUUCCCCCCUACUGUGCAUGCAGUUGAGUUGUGUUUGAAUCGGGCGUGCUGUUCAGAAAUGUUUACUGGAACAGAGAACUUUGAUCAAACUUCUGUGAUUGAGGCUGGAAUCCUAGGGACUCAUCUUUUUCUCUGUCUUUCUUCCUCUCUCACUCUUUUUCUCUUCACUCAAUCUCUUGUUUGUCCUGCAUCUCUUUUUCUCUCCUUGCACGCACACACGCACACAUCGAUUGGAGAGUCGAUAUUGAGCAGUGGCUCUCGUCUAAAUUAAUAUUUGAUUUCUCUGGGGGUUUCAGACUGGAACCCACGGCAUUGAGUUACAGUCUAAACGUUACAGUCUGAGGGAUUGCUCUAAACGUUGUUUGAUUAAGUUUGUGUGUGUGUACGUGUGUGUGUAUGCGUGCCUGCCUGCAAUACAACCCCCUACACACACAUGCAUGCACACACUCACACACACACACACACACACACACACACACACACACACACAUCACUUGUCUAGAAUGCAUCACUCACUGCUAAGCCUCUGCCAUUAAAGCUGUUCAUUUAUCCGACACACAUGGUGACUUAUGUUUGAUUGAUGUGAGCACUAGGCCCAGAACUGUCUCUCAAACACUAGGCCCAGAACUGUCUCUCAAACACUAGGCCCAGAACUGUCUCUCAAACACUAGGCCCAGAACUGUCUCUCAAACACUAGGCCCAGAACUGUCUCUCAAACACUAGGCCCAGAACUGUCUCUCAAACACUAGGACCAGAACUGUGUCUCUCAAACACUAGGCCCAGAACUGUGUCUCUCAAACACUAGGCCCAGAACUGUGUCUCUCAAACACUAGGCCCAGAACUGUGUCUCUCAAACACUAGGCCCAGAACUGUGUCUCUCAAAUACUAGGCCCAGAAGUGUGUCUCUCAAACACUAGACCCAGAACUGUGUCUCUCAAACACUAGGCCCAGAACUGUGUCUCUCAAACAGAGUCCCCAGUUCUCUGCAGCGAUAUGGUGAAACCAAAUGCUUGCCUUGUGUACUGUAGCAUCAUUCUUGCUUCAAAAUCCAAUAGUGCUAUUUGUGUACAGUAUAUGGGUGUAUUCUAGGGUUUAGGGUGGGAAGAAAAUCCUUAGUACUGCAGUCAUCCAUUGUAAUGUAAGGAUGAGAGACCCUGGUAUUGUGCUAUAACUCCAAACACAAACACAAGGUAUGUUUCUCUCUGUCAGUGUGUUUGUUUACUUUGUUCUGUUGUUUGUGAGAUCUGAUUGGUAUCAGCGCAGCAGUGUGUGUGUGUGUGUGUGAGAGAGAGUGUGAGAGAGUGUGUGUGUGUGUGAGAUUGAGAGUGAGAGUGAGAGAGAGAGAGAGAGAGAGAGAGAGAGAGAGAGAGAGAGAGAGAGCACGCUGGGGUAAUCUGCUUCUGCAAGAGUUUGUUACAUUAUUCAUCUUCCUGGGGCUCUGCGGCAGGGAGGGAGCAGCGGAGAGGGGUGGAGGAAUAGAGGAAGAGAGAGAAAUGGGGAGAGAGAAACAGAGAGGGUAAAGGACUCAGAUAGAGCAGCCAAACAUCUACGCACUGAGAGAUACAGUAUCAGAUACAUUACUCCCAGAUUGAAGCGGGUUAUUCAUGAACUUUACAGCCACAGUAAAACAGUCUUCUAAAACCCAACUUAAAAAAUACCGAAGUGACCUUCAUGGGAGGGAUCUCAGAUAUUUGUGACUCCAGAGUAUGUUGUUCAGAGCAGACAUCUGUUCUAAACAGACAGGUACUAGUUAACCUGAGCCUUGUAUUAAAUGUCCACCCCAAGGCCUGGGGCGAGGUAAAGAGAAGAGACAGUGUGAGGAAAGGGCUGGGUAUCGAUCCUUAGAGACAGACUUUGGCCUUCGGAUCAGACAAUAUUGACAGGCUAUCACCCACACACCCAGCGAAGUCUGACACUGUCGGACACCCAUCAUUAACACACACACGUGCAUGCAUACCCAUACGCCGGAGGGAGGCUUGAGUGUGUGUGAGGCGGAGGGCUGUGUGCUUGGGAUGCGGAGCACGUCCGAGGUCUGUGAAGUUCUCCUUGCAGCAAAGCCUCAUUAAAGAGGCUCGCCUUAACACAGCUAUCUACAGCCAGACCAGACCUGACCACACACACAGAGAGGGAAGGAGAUAGAGAGAGAGCGAGAGAGAGUGAAAGAGACACUGAGGAACACAAGCACGCACACAAACACCUGAAAUACUAUAUAAAUCUUUCUCAGGACACUGGUUUUACACAGUGUUUGAGUGGGAGCGAAUGGGUUUGUUAGAAGAAGAAGAAUGUUCGCUGCCAUGGUGAUUUAAUCAGACACACAAAAAAAGACCUGACGAAGAUCCAACUCGGCUCGAAACCCUGUUCUUUUUUUGCGUCAGAUUAAAUUACCCUGGGAGCACACCAAAGUUGCAGACAUUCUUUUUUCUUUGAUCUGUCCUGCACCUGAUAAGUUGUAUGUGCAUAUUUGUCUAUUUUUUAUUUUAUUAUAUUUUUACAAUGGGAUUGUUCUCAUCAGGGAGGGUGGGAUUUGACCCCUCCCUCUACAUCCACAGUGUUUAAACUAUGUUCUCCCAAAACAAUUCCCCUCCUACAGUAAUAUGAUAUUCAUGUAUAUUUGAUUGUGUCACCUCUGUGGAGAUUGCCUAUGGUGUGUCUGUGUGCCUUUUAAAUCUGUGUUUAUGAAUAAGUAAUAGAUUGCUAUGCACUCUGAUUAUUAAAGAAGCCAUAUUGCCAGGAAGCCAUGAUGAAAUUAUAUUGUAAUUCCUGCAUCUCCGAUGAAUACAUUUAUAUUUUUCUUUCUUGCAAUUUCUUUCCUGUUUCUGUUCCGGUAAAUGAGCGCUAAAGCUCUCUUGUUUUGCGCUGAGACUCCCUGACGUUUACAUUUGUAUGGUUUUCACAACUGCGCUGAGAUUUUUUUAAUAAAACUGUCCUGUUUCUAAAUAUACAG
rnacentral:lncRNA from 1 species